rnacentral:pre_miRNA from 1 species
AGAGGGACAGCUAGGUCAAAUGGUGAUUCCAUUCUCAAUUUCCAAGAAAUCUCCAUACUGCUUUCCAUAUUGUCUGCACCAAUUUGCAGUCCCACCAGCAGU